rnacentral:rRNA from 1 species
UGGGGAAUAUUGCACAAUGGGCGCAAGCCUGAUGCAGCCAUGCCGCGUGUAUGAAGAAGGCCUUCGGGUUGUAAAGUACUUUCAGCGAGGAGGAAGUCGUUGUGGUUAAUAACCGCAACGAUUGACGUUACUCGCAGAAGAAGCACCGGCUAACUCCGUGCCAGCAGCCGCGGUAAUACGGAGGGUGCAAGCGUUAAUCGGAAUUACUGGGCGUAAAGCGCACGCAGGCGGUCUGUCAAGUCGGAUGUGAAAUCCCCGGGCUCAACCUGGGAACUGCAUCCGAAACUGGCAGGCUAGAGUCUUGUAGAGGGGGGUAGAAUUCCAGGUGUAGCGGUGAAAUGCGUAGAGAUCUGGAGGAAUACCGGUGGCGAAGGCGGCCCCCUGGACAAAGACUGACGCUCAGGUGCGAAAGCGUGGGGAGCAAACA